rnacentral:rRNA from 1 species
CGCGUAGGCGGGAUGGCAAGUCGGUCGUGAAAUCCCUCGGCUCAACUGAGGAGCGUCGAUCGAAACUGCCGUUCUUGAGGGUUGCAGAGGAGACUGGAAUUCCCGGUGUAGCGGUGAAAUGUGUAGAGAUCGGGAGGAACACCGGUGGCGAAGGCGGGUCUCUGGGCAACUCCUGACGCUGAGGCGCGAAAGCGUGGGGAGCAAACGGGAUUAGAUACCCCGGUAGUCCACGCUGUAAACGAUGACGACUAGGUGUGGGGGGGUUCAGUCCCCUCCGUGCCGCAGCUAACGCAUUAAGUCGUCCGCCUGGGGAGUACGGCCGCGAGGUUGAA